rnacentral:misc_RNA from 1 species
UGACAUAUUCUUUGUUCGUAUACUUCAGUUGAUGGCAAUGAAAUGAUUUCAUAUUUGUUUUCAACUUUUCUGGGCAGGAUAAACUAAUGGUUUAUCAAACUGUUAGGAGGGGAUCUGAAUUGCUUGGAGUUGAUGAAAUUGAAUGUUCAUCUAUUAAAAGAGAGAACUGAAAUAGGGAAUAUGGAAGGUUUCAAGUGUAAGAAUAAGGAAUGGCACGUCUUUCCAUGGAAUUAAAGACUGCUUGAUAAAGCUGCUGAUAAAACUCAGCAAUUUAUGGAAAAAACUGCAGAAAAAGAUUGAUCAA